rnacentral:rRNA from 1 species
GAUGAACGCUGGCGGCGUGCCUAAUACAUGCAAGUCGAGCGAACAGAUGAGGAGCUUGCUCCUCUGACGUUAGCGGCGGACGGGUGAGUAACACGUGGAUAACCUACCUAUAAGACUGGGAUAACUUCGGGAAACCGGAGCUAAUACCGGAUAAUAUAUUGAACCGCAUGGUUCAAUAGUGAAAGACGGUUUUGCUGUCACUUAUAGAUGGAUCCGCGCCGCAUUAGCUAGUUGGUAAGGUAACGGCUUACCAAGGCAACGAUGCGUAGCCGACCUGAGAGGGUGAUCGGCCACACUGGAAGUGAGACACGGUCCAGACGCCUACGGGAGGCAGCAGUAGGGAAUCUUCCGCAAUGGGCGAAAGCCUGACGGAGCAACGCCGCGUGAGUGAUGAAGGUCUUCGGAUCGUAAAACUCUGUUAUUAGGGAAGAACAAAUGUGUAAGUAACUAUGCACGUCUUGACGGUACCUAAUCAGAAAGCCACGGCUAACUACGUG